rnacentral:rRNA from 1 species
UAAGAAUAUUCCGCAAUGGACGGAAGUCUGACGGAGCGACGCCGCGUGGAUGAAGAAGGACGAAAGGUUGUAAAGUUCUUUUGCUAGGGGAGAAUAAGUGAGGGAGGGAAUGCCCUCAUGAUGACAAGGACUAGCGAAUAAGCCCCGGCCAACUACGUGCCAGCAGCCGCGGUAACACGUAGGGGGCGAGCGUUGUUCGGAAUUACUGGGCGUAAAGGGCAUGUAUGCGGCUUGGUAAGCCUGGCGUGAAAGACUGCAGCUUAACUGUAGGGAUGCGUUGGGAACUGCUUAGCUUGAGUUACGUAGAGGGAGCUGGAAUUCCUGGUGUAGGGGUGAAAUCUGUAGAUAUCAGGAAGAACACCGAUGUCGAAGGCAAGCUUCUAGUCGAUAUUGUCGCUGACACGCGAGAUCGUGGGUAGCAAACA